GAUGAACGCUGGCGGCGUGCCUAAUACAUGCAAGUCGAGCGAAUGGAUUGAGAGCUUGCUCUUAUGAAGUUAGCGGCGGACGGGUGAGUAACACGUGGGUAACCUGCCCAUAAGACUGGGAUAACUCCGGGAAACCGGGGCUAAUACCGGAUAACAUUUUGAACCGCAAGGUUCGAAAUUGAAAGGCGGCUUCGGCUGUCACUAAUGGAUGGACCCGCGUCGCAUUAGCUAGUUGGUGAGGUAACGGCUCACCAAGGCAACGAUGCGUAGCCGACCUGAGAGGGUGAUCGGCCACACUGGGACUGGGACACGGCCCAGACUCCUACGGGAGGCAGCAGUAGGGAAUCUUCCGCAAUGGACGAAAGUCUGACGGAGCAACGCCGCGUGAGUGAUGAAGGCUUUCGGGUCGUAAAACUCUGUUGUUAGGGAAGAACAAGUGCUAGUUGAAUAAGCUGGCCCCUUGACGGUACCUAACCAGAAAGCCACGGCUAACUACGUGCCAGCAGCCGCCGUAA
rnacentral:rRNA from 1 species